GACAGAGGGUGCAAACGUUGUUCGGAAUUACUGGGCGUAAAGCGCGUGUAGGCGGCCAUGCAAGUCGGAUGUGAAAGCCCUCGGCUCAACCGGGGAAGUGCACUCGAAACUGCAAGGCUAGAGUCUCGGAGAGGAUCGUGGAAUUCUCGGUGUAGAGGUGAAAUUCGUAGAUAUCGAGAGGAACACCGGUGGCGAAGGCGGCGAUCGGACGAUGAC
rnacentral:rRNA from 1 species